ensembl:antisense Gm16136 predicted gene 16136
GGCGGCGCGGAGUCCUCCCGGAUCGCUGCAAUGGGCAGACACAGAGCGCAAAGUGGCGGACUUGGGCGGCCACAGGUAACUUUCUCGCAAGGCGCUGAAUUCUUUCACUAAAGGGUACAAGCCCGAGGGCCGAGCUGCGCGGUGAUUGGCUGCGGUGCUCCCUCAGGGGCAGGGUAGAGGUGAUGGGAGAGACGGAGCGGGGAGCGCCACUACAGACACUAGGUACUGUGGGUCAAACCGAAGGACGACAGAAUGCUGAACCCAGAAAUCAACAAGCCCACCCGGAACCAAAUGGCCAGUUCACCACCUGCCACUUGACACUCGCGGGACGAAAACUGUG